rnacentral:rRNA from 1 species
UUGGUUGGCACCUCAGCCCUUUUGUGGGUGAUUUGGAGGUGUAGGAAUGACAUUAUCUUUGAUAGAAAAAAGAUUACUGAUCCCAUGGGGAUUGUGAAAAUAAUAUGUGGUUGGAUUUCUGAUUGGGCUAUUUUGCAGAAAAAGGACCCAAAGGAAAAAAUACUGAUGCUGGGAGCAAAACUCAUCGAACAAGUAGCAAGUGAUGUCUACAAGGCGGCGCAAGGGUGGCGUUUUGGCGUUCUCCGAAUUCAGCAGUGA